UCAGGCAAUUCGUCAACUGAGUCACAGCCCAGGAGAUCCCAACCUUCUGGUGAAGGGGCAGCAGCCAGCGAUCUGGAGUAUGCAGUAGUUGGAGCAGCACACAAUGCUGAAAACACCACUGCGGAUCUGGUUUAUUCAGAGGUCACCAUCAAGAAGAGAAAACAACCCGGCAACAGAAUUGCUUUCUCCUCCGAUUUGAAAAAGG